rnacentral:lncRNA from 1 species
AUGGGGGUCCUAUGCCAGUGGGGGAAGAGGGUCUGGCUCUCAGUCCCCGCCUCGUGGGGGGUGCCUCCCCACUCUGUGAUGUGGGUCCUAAGAGCCAGUGGGGGAACAGGGGCUGGCUCUCAGUCCCUGCCUCAUGGGGGGUGCGUCCCCCCCCCCUGCGAUGGGGGUACUAACAGCCAGGGGCGGAAGAGGGGGUGGGUCCUAAGUCCCUGCCUCGCGGGGGGUGCCUCCCCCUCCUGCGAUGGGGGUCCUAAGAGCCAGGGGGGGAAGAGGGAUUGCCUCUCAGUCCCUGCCUCGCGGGGGGUGCCUCCGCCCCCUGCGAUGGGGGUAUUAACAGCCAGGGGCGGAAGAGGGGAUAGCUCUCAGUCCCCACCCUCGUGGGGGGUGCCACACCCUCCUGCGAUGGGGUUCCUAAGAGCCAGAGGGGGAAGAGGGACUGGCUCUCAGUCCCCGCCUCGUGGGGGGUGCCUCCCCACCUGCGAUGGGGGUACUAACAGCCAGGGGCGGAAGAGGGGAUAG